UGCUGCAUGGCUGUCGUCAGCUCGUGUUGUGAAAUGUUGGGUUAAGUCCCGCAACGAGCGCAACCCUUAUCCUUUGUUGCCAGCGGUCCGGCCGGGAACUCAAAGGAGACUGCCAGUGAUAAACUGGAGGAAGGUGGGGAUGACGUCAAGUCAUCAUGGCCCUUACGACCAGGGCUACACACGUGCUACAAUGGCGCAUACAAAGAGAAGCGACCUCGCGAGAGCAAGCGGACCUCAUAAAGUGCGUCGUAGUCCGGAUUGGAGUCUGCAACUCGACUCCAUGAAGUCGGAAUCGCUAGUAAUCGUGGAUCAGAAUGCCACGGUGAAUACGUUCCCGGGCCUU
rnacentral:rRNA from 1 species